GACCAGGGCUACACACGUGCUACAAUGGCGCAUACAAAGAGAAGCGACCUCGCGAGAGCAAGCGGACCUCAUAAAGUGCGUCGUAGUCCGGAUUGGAGUCUGCAACUCGACUCCAUGAAGUCGGAAUCGCUAGUAAUCGUGGAUCAGAAUGCCACGGUGAAUACGUUCCCGGGCCUUGUACACACCGCCCGUCACACCAUGGGAGUGGGUUGCAAAAGAAGUAGGUAGCUUAACCUUCGGGAGGGCGCUUACCACUUUGUGAUUCAUGACUGGGGUGAAGUCGUAACAAGGUAACCGUAGGGGAACCUGCGGUUGGAUCACCUCCUUACCUUAAAGAAGC
rnacentral:rRNA from 4 species